GAUGAGAUAAAUCAAUCACAGAUUCAGAGAGAGAGAGAGAAAGCAGUGAAAAAAAAAAGGGUUGGGGUUAGGGGGGUUUCUGGUUUCAGUCGAAUCGGAGAAGAAACGAUGUGGCACGAAGCGAGGAGGUCGGAGAGGAAAGUGCACGACAUGAUGGACGCCGCUCGCAAACGAGCUCAACGACGUGCCGUUUUCCUCGCCAAACGCCGCGGCGAUCCCCAGCAGUCCAUCCAGGUCGUCGGCUCCCGCUGCCGCCUCUACCGCGACGACGGCCUUUAUCAAGCCACCGAGGAUCAGCAAGGCCUGAUUCCUUGGAAUGGAAAACAGGAUGUGUUAAUUGACAGAUUUGAUGGGCGUGCGCUUCUCGAUUUUAUUCGAGAGUCUAAGCAUUUUCGUGUUCAAGAGAAGUCGGAAGAGGAGGAAGAGUUAGAAGAGUUUGUUAAUUUUGAGCGUUAUCGGGAUUUAAUUAAGCAUCGUCGUAGAGGAUUUACUGAUGAUGAGGGUUUGCUACACGUGAAUCAAGAGAUGGAGGCCAAGGUUACUGCUCCGUUUGCACCUGAGAGGUCUCAGCCGCAACAAGCUUCUGCCACCAAGGGUUCUUAUUCCCAAGUUGGGUUCUCUUAUGGUGGGGAUGGAAAAGAGGACGCCCAGUAUUCAGAUGCUGAUGAAGACGAUGACGAUGACGACGAUGACGAAGAUGAGGAUGAUUUCAACUCUGAUGAUAGCAGUGAUGAAGGAAUGGAUAAAAUAGCAAAAGAAUUUGGAAUCAAGAGGUAUGGUUGGCUUGUCUACAUGGAUAAGAAAGCCAAGGAGGAGGAGAAAAGGCAAAAGGAAGUGAUCAAAGGCGAUCCUGCAAUUAGGAAGAUGAGUCGCAAGGAAAGAAGGAAGGUUUCUCAGAUAGAAAGGGAGAGAGAAAGAGAAACUGCCCGGGUAACCGGAACUCGUGUUCUCCAACAUGAUCCAUACCGUGAAAGCAGGCGAAGUCCAACAUAUGAAGCUUAUCCUCGUUCAAGAAGAUCAAGAUCUCGAUCACCAUCAUACUCAAGGCGUCAUCCUCGCGGACGACAUUCUGAUGCUCAUAGAAGCAAACCAACGACUUCUAAAAUUGAAUACAUUACAGAAUUUGGGGGCUCAGGCGAUAAGGAAGAAUCAAAGCGUGAAGGGUUUUCUCCACCACAAUCUCCUCGCUCACAGACUGAUGUGUUAAACCGGUCUUCAACUGGUGUAAUACUUGAGGCUCUGCAUGUCGAUCCUGCAUCCGGUGCAUUGCUUGACAAGGAUAAGAGCACUAAAGUGGUGAAGCCAUCAGCAAGCACAUCUUCAGCAUUAGCAAAGUUAAGUAAGACAAGUACUUCUGUGGGGUCACUGAAGCAGCAACCAGCAGAGAAGAAAGAAACUCCUCAAGAAAGACUUAAAAGGAUUAUGAGCAAGCAGCUGAACAAACAGAUUAAGAAAGAUACUGCCGCUGAAAUGGCUAAAAAGCGAGAGCAGGAGCGCCAGAGGCUGGAAAAACUCGCCGAAACAAGCCGGUUAAGUCGAUCUAGGCGCCAUAGUCGUAGCAGGAGCUACAGCCGUUCUCCACCAAGAAGACACCGACGCAGUAGAAGUCCAAGUCGAAGCAGGAGUUCCCGACGACAUUACUCCCGUUCUAGGUCAAGGUCCCGCUCCCAGUCUCGUUCUCACUCCAGGUCUGGCUCCCGUACCUGUACUCGUUCACACACGUACUCCCGCUCACCAAGGGUAACUAGCCGUUCAAGAUACUGAUGGAUACCUCAGGAGGGGUGAUCAGUGUGCUUGGAAUGCUAAUAUUUGGGUCUUGUACUCGUAGGAGUUGAAAUGGCCCUUAUUUACCUACUUUCCUAGGUUUCUUGGUUUCAGAAUAGGUGUGCGAAAAGAAUAUAGUUUCAGAUGGAAUCAAUCUUUAAAACUUUUGGGAAAGAAGAAUGACUAGUGGAGUAUGGAGGAGAUGGCAGAGCCGGGUUUCCAAGGCAAAAUCAAGUGUAUUGGGUUAUCUUGGCAUCUAAUGAGCAGCAUUGAUGUGAAAGGAAAGGAGGAGAUAGAAUUCAUGGGCAAGAAAGGGACUGUCGUUGAAUAUAUUUUGUGUAAAGAAAGGAUCAAGAUACCUUGCACACGGUCAAUUUCUGUUGAGCAGCGAUCGGCUUAUCAUAAUGUGUUAUAUCUGGAUUGGCAACCUUUUCAGAAAAUUUUGUCCAGAAGUUGAACAAUGAGCCCACAAUUAAUUAUUCCUGCGCCGACUUCCAAACGGCUAAUGGGUACAGGACCAGGAACUUCUCGGUUAUGUUUACUGCUGGCUCGAUGGACACUCUUUUAGUGCUAGGGCUAGCAGGGAUGUUGAAAUUCACUGGUUUCAACAAGCGUGUUCUGGUACAGCACAAAAGAUUAGCAUGGAUGCCAGGUUAGUGGAAGCUCAAGUCUUGUCAACACCGAUUGUUAUGUCAAUUUUCAGGAGCAGUGACUCCGCAUGUUGUGGGAUCUUUAUCAAUAACUAAAGCCAAGCAUUUGAA